UACGGGGGGAGCAAGCGUUUGUUCGGAUUUACUGGGCGUAAAGGGCGCGUAGGCGGCCAGCACAAGUCAGUUGUGAAAUCUCCGAGCUUAACUCGGAACGGUCAACUGAUACUGUGCGGCUAGAGUGCGGAAGGGGCAACUGGAAUUCUUGGUGUAGCGGUGAAAUGCGUAGAGAUGGGGGGAGAACACUCGUGGGCGAAGGCGGCCAGCUAGACCAGUUCUGACACUG
rnacentral:rRNA from 1 species